ACGGGAGGCAGCAGUGGGGAAUAUUGGGCAAUGGGGGAAACCCUGACCCGGCAACGCCGCGUGGAGGAAGAAGGUCUUCGGAUCGUAAACUCCUGUCCUAAGAGACGAGUAGAAGACGGUAACUUAGGAGGAAGCCCCGGCUAACUACGUGCCAGCAGCCGCGGUAAUACGUAGGGGGCGAGCGUUGUCCGGAAUGAUUGGGCGUAAAGGGCGCGUAGGCGGCCUGUUAAGUCAGAAGUGAAAGUCCUGCUUUCAAGGUGGGAAUUGCUUUGGAUACUGAUGGGCUUGAGUGCAGGAGAGGUUAGCGGAAUUCCCGGUGUAGCGGUGAAAUGCGUAGAGAUCGGGAGGAACACCAGUGGCGAAGGCGGGUAACUGGACUGCAACUGAUGCUGGGGCGCGAAAGUGUGGGGAGCAAACAGGAUUAGAUACCCUGGUA
rnacentral:rRNA from 1 species